GCCUGUUACCAGGAUGUAAAAGGAACCUUUUUUUAUCAUUCUUCUCUUACAGCUGCUGUCAGUUUCCUGUGAGGCUGAAUGUUGAGGCCAAAGACGAGGAGGGCGAGAAGAGCACAAGCUCGGACGAGGUGUGUCUUAGGUUCAUGCUAACUAAGGAAAAAGACAGUAGUGGAAGAAGUUUGUUUCUUGACUGAAAAGCUUCCAGAAGUCUCCUGAGGGGCCUCUGAAAGCGUUUGGCGUUGGGGUCACGGGGUUAAGCUGAGGUGAAGUGGUCCGGAAAAGGUCCAGAGAUCGGGAGAUGAUAACG
rnacentral:lncRNA from 1 species